rnacentral:sRNA from 1 species
AUGUACCCCUCGCACACGCCGGUACCUCCGCGUUGCCUACAUCCACCUGGCCACUGUGCGCGACGUUGUAGUAGCC